CAGAAAGCCUGAGUCCUUCACGACUCCACUGAGCAAUGGGACCUUUCAGCAACGCUAGCAACACCUUGGGUCUCCAGAGCCUGAACCCUGGGCUUUCUUAAUGCUCAACACUGUUAUGGGUGGCUUCGUGCAACUGAAAAUACCACAGAUGUCUCACAAACGAGAGAAUCAGGUCUUUCUGUGCUUUAGCCCUUCCUUGGUUUUAACACUCAAAACGGUAAGAAAAAUCAUUUCACGGGACUCAAUUAAUAUGUAAAUGACUGGCAAUACCCACAUGAAGUCCAUUAUAAUUAAAUUUAUCAUGCUCCCAGCCAAGUCUGAUUCAUUAUGAGGAAGUCAGUUUUCAGAUGGUUUUGAAUUAAAACUAGAAUAAAAUAUUAGUCUCUAAUUCCUUCUCAUAAAGUACUAUUAACGGUCAGCCAAUCGCAGUGAUUUAAAUAGCACUCCAUUUGGAAGUCAAGCCAGAGGAAACCCCCUACAGAAGUAAAAGAAAAUGAAAUAACUUGAUGUGUGCAUAGCCCUCUUUUAAAUUGCAUGGAGCAAAGUUCCAAGAGGAAUAUGUUUAUAUUAUGAUGUCACAAUAUGUUGAUUCCUGUUUGGUCAGCGUUCCAAGGAACUUAUUCUACAAUCUUACUUCCCAGAGUCACUGGAGAAAACUGUUAUCUGUGGAAGGAAUGCUGCGUUAAGAAGUUGUUUCUAUGGAUCUGUUUGAAGAAAUUAACUGAAGCAUAGCAAACCAAAUUCUGUCUCUUAGGUCUUUAUAUCCUGAGCAAGUGACUUCAGAUGAUGGGCCCAGAUGGUGAAUGGAUUAUUCCUGGAGGCAGUGAUGAUGAUGUGCUGGCCAAGAUCCUCCCAUGCCAUGACCUUUGGUCUGCUCACCACUGUCCAGCCCACCUUGAUGCCUGCUCAGUUUCCAAGCACUGACUUUCAGUUUUUCCUCCAAGCACAUGAGAGAAUUCCAAGAAUAAUUAUCAUCUUGCUGGCAUUCCAGUACUUUCUUCUGUACUGUAAUGGGAGUAAAGAGGGAGGAAGAGAAGUUUUACUGGUGUGCCCAAGGAGCAUCAUGGCAAGUAAAGUUGAUCCUGGUACAUCCAACUGGAACAUAAAUUAUUAUACAAAUGAACCAAUGAAAAUGAAUAUUUGGGACAUCUUCUGGCUUUUUAAAAUUUCAAUAAAAUUUUUGAGCAACAGUGUUCUAAGUUCUUAAGUGGUGAUUUCUGAGAUUUGGGCAUUUUUAUGCACUAUUUAUCACUUUGUGAUUAGAGAGGCUGUAAGCACUGUUACUAGAACACAGUGAAUCUCAGCUCUGCAACUUGCCAGGCAUGGAAUGCUGGCAAGGAGGAUCUCAUCCCACCAGCCAUCUGGGUAGGAACCAGUUAGCAUAAUCUGGGAUGCAAGAUGAAAGUGGUAUGAGGGUGCUUACCCUUCCAAUUCCAAACUCCAUGCUUGGGACCAAGACUCUUGUUUAGGUGAGGGAGACUGGGAAAAGGGGUUUCUCUAUAGGCCUGUUGAGGCCCUCAUGCUUUUAUUCUCUAAAGCCACUUGUAGGCACUUGAUUAAUCUGAACCAGCUGAGUGAUGUCCAGCAUCUGCAGUUCAGGCCAAUGUGACAAGUAGUGAUUCACUGGAGAGGGGGUUUUUGAUAAAAUAGCCUCAC
ensembl:lncRNA